AGAGUUUGAUCCUGGCUCAGGACGAACGCUGGCGGCACGCUUAACACAUGCAAGUCGAACGAGAGAAGAGGAGCUUGCUUUUCUGAUCUAGUGGCGGACGGGUGAGUAACACGUGAGCAAUCUGCCUUUCAGAGGGGGAUACCGAUUGGAAACGAUCGUUAAUACCGCAUAACAUAAUUGAACCGCAUGAUUUGAUUAUCAAAGAUUUAUCGCUGAAAGAUGAGCUCGCGUCUGAUUAGCUAGUUGGUAAGGUAACGGCUUACCAAGGCGACGAUCAGUAGCCGGACUGAGAGGUUGAUCGGCCACAUUGGGACUGAGACACGGCCCAGACUCCUACGGGAGGCAGCAGUGGGGAAUAUUGCACAAUGGAGGAAACUCUGAUGCAGCGAUGCCGCGUGAGGGAAGAAGGUUUUAGGAUUGUAAACCUCUGUCUUCAGGGACGAAAAAAGACGGUACCUGAGGAGGAAGCUCCGGCUAACUACGUGCCAGCAGCCGCGGUAAUACGUAGGGAGCGAGCGUUGUCCGGAAUUACUGGGUGUAAAGCGAGCGUAGGCGGGAUCGCAAGUCAGAUGUGAAAACUAUGGGCUUAACCCAUAAACUGCAUUUGAAACUGUGGUUCUUGAGUGAAGUAGAGGUAAGCGGAAUUCCUAGUGUAGCGGUGAAAUGCGUAGAUAUUAGGAGGAACAUCAGUGGCGAAGGCGGCUUACUGGGCUUUAACUGACGCUGAGGCUCGAAAGCGUGGGGAGCAAACAGGAUUAGAUACCCUGGUAGUCCACGCCGUAAACGAUGAUUACUAGGUGUGGGGGGACUGACCCCUUCCGUGCCGCAGCAAACGCAAUAAGUAAUCCACCUGGGGAGUACGACCGCAAGGUUGAAACUCAAAGGAAUUGACGGGGGCCCGCACAAGCAGUGGAGUAUGUGGAUUAAUUCGAAGCAACGCGAAGAACCUUACCAGGUCUUGACAUCGUAUGCAUAGCUCAGAGAUGAGUGAAAUCUCUUCGGAGACAUAUAGACAGGUGGUGCAUGGUUGUCGUCAGCUCGUGUCGUGAGAUGUUGGGUUAAGUCCCGCAACGAGCGCAACCCUUACUGUUAGUUGCUACGCAAGAGCACUCUAGCAGGACUGCCGUUGACAAAACGGAGGAAGGUGGGGAUGACGUCAAAUCAUCAUGCCCCUUAUGACCUGGGCCUCACACGUACUACAAUGGCUGUCAACAGAGGGAAGCAAAGCCGCGAGGUGGAGCGAACCCCUAAAAGCAGUCUUAGUUCGGAUUGUAGGCUGCAACCCGCCUACAUGAAGUCGGAAUUGCUAGUAAUCGCAGAUCAGCAUGCUGCGGUGAAUACGUUCCCGGGCCUUGUACACACCGCCCGUCACGCCAUGGGAGUCGGUAACACCCGAAGCCUGUAGUCUAACCGCAAGGAGGACGCAGUCGAAGGUGGGAUUGAUGACUGGGGUGAAGUCGGAACAAGGUA
rnacentral:rRNA from 1 species